AUUGAACGCUGGCGGCAGGCCUAACACAUGCAAGUCGAACGGCAGCGGGGGGUAGCUUGCUAUCCUGCCGGCGAGUGGCGGACGGGUGAGUAAUGCAUGGGGAGCUGCCCAGUCGAGGGGGAUAACAACUGGAAACGGUUGCUAAUACCGCAUACGCCCUAAGGGGGAAAGGUGGGGAACUUCGGUCCUACCGCGAUUGGAUGCGCCCAUGUGGGAUUAGCUAGUUGGUGAGGUAACGGCUCACUAAGGCGACGAUCUCUAGCUGGUCUGAGAGGAUGACCAGCCACACUGGAACUGAGACACGGUCCAGACUCCUACGGGAGGCUGCAGUGGGGAAUAUUGCACAAUGGGGGAAACCCUGAUGCAGCCAUGCCGCGUGUGUGAAGAAGGCCUUCGGGUUGUAAAGCACUUUCAGUCAGGAGGAAGGGGUGAUGGCUAAUAUCCAUCAUCAUUGACGUUACUGACAGAAGAAGCACCGGCUAACUCCGUGCCAGCCGCCGCGGUAA
rnacentral:rRNA from 1 species